rnacentral:misc_RNA from 1 species
GAAAUGCGAUAAGUAGUGUGAAUUGCAGAAUUCAGUGAAUCAUCGAAUCUUUGAACGCACAUUGCGCCCUUUGGUAUUCCUUAGGGCAUACCUGUUCGAGCGUCAUUUGUAACCUCAAGCUCAGCUUGGUGUUGGGUGUCUGUCCCCGCCCCGCGCGGGGACUCGCCUCAAAAACAUUGGCGGCCGGUACGUUGGCUUCGAGCGCAGCAGAAACGCGAACUCGAGGCCCGACGGAUCGGCGACCAGAAGUCACUUCUUCCACAGCUUGACCUCGGAUCAGGUAGGGAUACCCGCUGAACUUAAGC